rnacentral:hammerhead_ribozyme from 1 species
GCACUGCUGAUGAGUCCCAUAAUAGGACGAAACGGCCGUCCAGUUC